CUCCCAAAAGUUAUUCAGGGGAAGGUUUUUUAAUAACCUUUACCAAUUUGGGCUGUUUGGGAGAAUAAAAGGACCACACUCCACAGUGGGCUAUUGCACUUAACGUAGCUCACUACUAUUCCGUGGCCUACAUU
rnacentral:snoRNA from 1 species